UCUAUAGACAUGCAGAUUCACUGUUUGUUAGAUUUGUUCCGAUUUACAAAACCUUUUUGAACAAACUCAACUGUGGGUGAAAUCCCUCUUCAAUACCUUCAUUUUGGCGGUGGUUUCACUUCGAUUGACCUCCUGAAACUGAAAUGGUUCACAGAUCAAGAUCUGGUCAGAUCUGACUUUGUCGAAUUAAACCAGGAGUUUGGAAACGAAUUUUUGAAUGAAACCAGUUGGGACUGAUGGAUGUUUUCUUAAUCAUCUCAAACAAGUUUCACACCUUUGUCUGUUGUGUAACUCCAGAGAGAAAGCAAAUGGGGAUGUUUGGUUUAUACCAUGGUGAUAACCGAGAGAGGCAAUUGCUAAGUUGUGAUACUCUCAUACCUUUACUAGACGCGAGCAAUUCCGGAGAAGAAGAAGAAGUGGAAUUGGACAAGGAUUUUAUUUAUAUUGUUGGGAUUCUUAUAUUGAUGGAGUUGAAGAAGUACAUGGACAAAUAAGCCAAGGCAAGCCAUCUUUUGAUCUCUGAUCCGGUGUCUAGUUGGAUGUCAUUUGUUGAUGUUCAAAGCACCUUCAUUCUAUGUGUGUUAUUAUCUCUAUUUAUGUCAUCUAUGUGUGAUUGCAAGUGGGGUACUCCCUAGUGGUGAUGCUCCACUAUUGUCCUUGUGUUAUGGGAUGCAUGGUAACAUGGCCGUGCUAU